AUGGAUCGGAGCCUCCAAUGGAGCAGGCCGGCGUCGCUGCUCCUCUUGGGGGCGGCGUUCCUGGCGGCGACGGCCGUAGCGAGCGCCAACCCGGCGUACAACCCCGACCCCUACAGCGUCGUGGACCACUUCAACCGCGCCGUUCACAGGUCGACUAGCCCGCGUCGUGCGCUGUAUUCGGAGAAGAAGUCGAAGAAGCCAAAGUACACGGGCCCGUGCAUGGCGACGAACCCGAUCGACCGGUGCUGGCGGUGCCGCAAGGACUGGGCGACGGACCGGCAGCGGAUGGCCCGCUGCGCCAAGGGGUUCGGCCGCGAGACCACCGGCGGGCUCAAGGGCAAGAUCUACAUAGUGACCGACGCCAACGACGAUGACUUCACCAACCCGCGGCCCGGGACGCUCCGGUGGGGCGCGGUCCAGACGGAGCCGCUGUGGAUCAUCUUCGCGAGGGACAUGGUGAUCAACGCGUCUCAGGAGAUCAUCAUCCAGAGCGACAAGACCAUCGACGGGCGCGGGGCGCAGGUGCACGUGGCCAACGGCGGUGGGCUCACCAUCCAGCACCAGAACAACGUCAUCAUCAACAACCUCCACGUGCACGGCAUCGUACACACGUCGGGCGGCAACGUGUCGAUGACGGCAACCCACUCCACGAUCCGUACCCGCGCCGACGGCGACGGCGUCUCCAUCUUCAACGCCACCAAAGUGUGGGUGGACCACCUGUCCAUGGAUAAUUGCGAGGACGGCAUGAUCGACGUGGUGGCCAUGUCCACGGCCGUCACCGUCUCCAACACCCACCUGGCCCACCACAACGACGUGAUGCUCUUCGGCGCCACCGAUGGGAAGGAGGAGGACAAGGUGAUGCAGGUCACCGUCGCCUUCAACCACUUCGGGAGAGGCCUGGUGCAGAGGAUGCCUCGCUGCCGCUACGGCUUCUUCCACGUCGUCAACAACGACUACACCAACUGGCUCAUGUACGCCAUCGGAGGCAGCAGCGCGCCCACCAUCGUCAGCCAGGGGAACCGCUACAGAGCACCACCCAACAUGGCUGCCAAGGAGGCGACCAAGCGCGAGUACGCGGCCGAGUCGGAGUGGAAGAACUGGGUGUGGACAUCGGAAGGCGACCUGAUGAUAAACGACGCCUUCUUCAUCACGUCCGGCGGAAAAAUAAGCCAGAAGCUCAACGGUAAGGACCUCCUCAAGCCCAAGCCAGGGGAGUACGUCAGGAGGCUCACCCGCUUCGCCGGCCCGUUGGACUGCAACGCGGGCAGUCCCUGCUGA
rnacentral:rRNA from 1 species